UACGUAGGGCGCAAGCGUUGUCCGGAAUUAUUGGGCGUAAAGAGCUCGUAGGCGGCUUGUCACGUCGGGUGUGAAAGCCCGGGGCUUAACCCCGGGUCUGCAUUCGAUACGGGCUAGCUAGAGUGUGGUAGGGGAGAUCGGAAUUCCUGGUGUAGCGGUGAAAUGCGCAGAUAUCAGGAGGAACACCGGUGGCGAAGGCGGCAUCCUGGGUCGGUAUUGACGCUGAGGAGCGAAAGCCAGGGGAGCAAACGGG
rnacentral:rRNA from 1 species